UCCAUCCGUAGGAAGAGACAGUAAGUGUGA
rnacentral:piRNA from 1 species